rnacentral:rRNA from 1 species
AUGUAUGCGAGUAUGGACAAGUACACGAUGUGCAUGCUUGGACUACUCGUAUGUUCUGCUACUAUUGCUCAAUGCGGUACCAUGGCCAAGACUCAUAGCGAGAAGAUCAAUCUACCUGCCGGGCUAUGCAAGCGUUUCAGUCCUUGCACCACUGCAGUUAUUUGCUUCUGCUGUCUUGUAGAUGAGCACUGCUACACAGCUUUGGAUGAAUGCAAGACUGCGUGUAAAAAAUCCUCUUCUUCAGAAGACAUUCAAGUGGCCACGACAUCCCUUCCUCCUUUACCUUCUCCUUUUCCAUCAUAG